rnacentral:lncRNA from 1 species
GACUCUGGCCGCGGCGAUUCAAUAUAUCCGGAAGCAACUGUCAUGGCUGCUGUCAGUGAGGGCCCGUAAUGGAGAUCGAGUCAAGGGUUGCCCAGGGACACUUAAGAGCCUUCGGCUUCAAGGAGGCCUCUCAAAGGACAAAGGAUGAGACUGCCUGGCGGCAGAGUGCCCCCCACAAUCGUAGGAACUGUGUCGCCGCGCUUCCCGUUAACUUGCCGCUAAGUUUUUCUAGAAAAGUCGCCCUUCUUGCCAGGGGUGUCCUAUAGACUUUGUCAUGGAGUGAAACAGAAACAAAUGAUGCACAAUAUUGAAAUUUAAUCAAAAUAUUCACUUAAGCAAAAUUAAGAAAGCACAGAAAAUAAAAACCACAUUUAGGCUACAUAUUUACAGUGGAAACAUAAUAGAAAGUAAUGCAAUUAACUGGGAAACCACUGCCAAGAACGAUGUUAUAAAGGCUUUCCUCCACGUUCUCAUCUAGGAGUUUUAUAGUUUCAGCCUCGUGAAGUGCCAGCUCCCUCUUUGCCCUCCACCAUGACUGCAAGUUUCCUGAGGCCUCCCAGAAGUUUCUUGAGGCCUCCCCAGAAGCCAAGCAGAUGCCAGCAUCAUGCUUCCUGUACAGCCUGUAGAAUCAUGAGCCAAUUACACCUCUUUUAUUUAUAAAUUA